UCUGGGAAUGUGAAGCCUGGAGCAGGAGU
rnacentral:piRNA from 1 species